rnacentral:tRNA from 1 species
AACAAGGUAGCCGUAGGGGAACCUGCGGCUGGGAUCACCUCCUUUCUAAGGAUGAUCCUUCAGAUCAGCUCACGCUAUCUAUCGGAUCGUUUUAGAAACAUUCAGGGGCCAGCAGUUUCAGGAUUGUUGAGCUCCAUUGGCGGGAUUUCGCCGUCUUCGUUUCUCUUUCUUCGCGGACGAACACGCGCCAGGGGCUGAGCGCUGUGCGGUGCACCGACUUCAGGUCGAGUGCGCGCCGGCAUGUCUCUCGUGUUAGGGGGCUUGUAGCUCAGUUGGUUAGAGCGCGCGCUUGAUAAGCGUGAGGUCGGAAGUUCAAGUCUUCCCAGGCCCACCAUUUUGAUCGAGUGCGGAGCAUUCGUCUUCUGGUACGGGGCCAUAGCUCAGCUGGGAGAGCGCGUGCUUUGCAAGCAUGAGGUCGUCGGUUCGAUCCCGUCUGGCUCCACCAGAUGGAAUUGAAGCUCGAGAAUGCCUCGAACAAAAUCGUCCGCGAAACAUCACUUCGCACUCAUUGGUCCGGAUGGACGGUGACGUGCGUGUUUUCUGACAUCGUAAAGAGGAGAUCGAUCCGAGUUUGGAUCUGCGAAGCAAUUCGCGGGUACCAUUCAUAAUCUCCAGAUCGUUUUCGGCGCUCGCGCAUCGACUCAUCGCAAGAUGAGUGAGAUGAGCGAGUUGUAAAACGAUCUUUUUAGCGAAGCUUGACCGCCUCGCUAUCGGGCCGAUCUUACGAAGCAAGCUGGUCUUUCUAGUCAAUGUCCGGCUGCGCAAUCGCAUUCAUCGAGGAUGCGCGCCUGGGACUUCGGUCCUCGGGCAGUUGUGCAGACAACAUUCUGCCGAGUGUGUGGACAUUGAUAAUGAGAGCAAUCAAGUGCCUUAAGGGUGUUCGGUGGAUGCCUUGGCGCUGA